rnacentral:rRNA from 1 species
CAUUAAAUAAACGGUCCUUUUGAGGAUGUCUGAAACCCUUGAAUAUACAAACUUAGUUGCUUUGGCGGGCCGCCCUUGGGCGUUGGCCUCGGCUGACUGUGCCCGCCAGAGGACCAAAACUCUUUUGUUUAGUGAUGUCUGAGUACUAUAUAAUAGUUAAAACUUUCAACAACGGAUCUCUUGGUUCUGGCAUCGAUGAAGAACGCAGCGAAAUGCGAUAAGUAAUGUGAAUUGCAGAAUUCAGUGAAUCAUCGAAUCUUUGAACGCACAUUGCGCCCCUUGGUAUUCCGAGGGGCAUGCCUGUUCGAGCGUCAUUAUGACCAAUCCCGCAAGGGGUCUUGGGGUUCGCCGUCUCGGCGGCCCUUAAAAUCAGUGGCGGUGCCAUCGUGCUCUAAGCGUAGUAAUUCUUCUCGCUAUGGGGUCCCGGUGGACGCUUGCCAGCAACCCUCAACUAUUCUAGGUUGACCUCGGAUCAGGUAGGGAUACCCGCUGAACUUAAGCAUAUCA